rnacentral:misc_RNA from 1 species
CCAAACUUGGUCAUUUAGAGGAAGUAAAAGUCGUAACAAGGUUUCCGUAGGUGAACCUGCGGAAGGAUCAUUAUUGAAACUUCAUCCGGGGCGCCGCGGCCCUCAGCACCGGUGGAAACGCCGUGUAGCGGGGGACGUGCGCGUACUCGUCCAAACCAAACCCCUGUGAACCUUUCGGGAAGGCCUCGGUUUAACCGCCGGGGUCGUCCCGCUUUACAAACGCAUAUAUGAGAAUGAACUUGAAGGCGGUCCGACCGCUGGAUAACAAACUGAAACAACUUUCAACAACGGAUCUCUUGGCUCUCGCAUCGAUGAAGAACGCAGC